CGACUUAGCUUAGGCGGGUAGAGCAACUCAUUCGUAAUGAGUAGGUCGAAGGUUCGAAUCCUUUAGUCGGC
rnacentral:tRNA from 1 species